rnacentral:rRNA from 1 species
UACGUAGGGUGCGAGCGUUGUCCGGAAUUAUUGGGCGUAAAGAGCUCGUAGGCGGCUUGUCACGUCGGAUGUGAAAGCUCGGGGCUUAACCCCGAGUCUGCAUUCGAUACGGGCUAGCUAGAGUGUGGUAGGGGAGAUCGGAAUUCCAGGUGUAGCGGUGAAAUGCGUAGAUAUCUGGAGGAACACCGGUGGCGAAGGCGGCGUCCUGGACCAACACUGACACUGAUGAGCGAAAGCCAGGGGAGCAAACGGG